rnacentral:miRNA from 1 species
GACGUCGAUAUUCGACGUCAUAAACACGAUCAACUUUGGUGUUUAUGACGUCGAUAUUCGACGUCAUAAACACGAUCAACUUUGGUGUUUAUGACGUCGAUAUUCGACGUCAUAAACACGAUCAACUUUGGUGUUUAUGACGUCGAUAUUCGACGUCAUAAACACGAGCAACUUUGGUGUUUAUGACGUCGAUAUUCGACGUCAUAAACACGAGCAACUUUGGUGUUUAUGACGUCGAUAUUCGACGUC